AAAGAUUAUCUGAAACCCAUACUUGAGUAAAAGUACAGAUAACGUACAGUGAAAAUUAGUCCACUACAUCUUACAUGUCAAUUCCAAAACAACUUAUUUGGGAGUAUUUGAUUUUAACGGUACUUCUUGACAAAAGUUCAAGACAAAGCACAGAGAACAUGUAACACAAAAUAGUUUAUUUGUGAGGAGAGCAAUCGCAAUUAUUUUCUAAAGCCAAAAUAAAAUUGAGCAUACCAAAAUUGCAAAAAAAA